AUUGAACGCUGGCGGCAGGCUUAACACAUGCAAGUCGAGCGGGGUGAUGGUGCUUGCACUAUCACUUAGCGGCGGACGGGUGAGUAAUGCUUAGGAAUCUGCCUAUUAGUGGGGGAUAACAUCUCGAAAGGGAUGCUAAUACCGCAUACGUCCUACGGGAGAAAGCAGGGGAUCACUUGUGACCUUGCGCUAAUAGAUGAGCUUAAGUCGGAUUAGCUAGUUGGUGGGGUAAAGGCCUACCAAGGCGACGAUCUGUAGCGGGUCUGAGAGGAUGAUCCGCCACACUGGGAAUGAGACACGGCCCAGACUCCUACGGGAGGCAGCAGUGGGGAAUAUUGGACAAUGGGGGGAACCCUGAUCCAGCCAUGCCGCGUGUGUGAAGAAGGCCUUAUGGUUGUAAAGCACUUUAAGCGAGGAGGAGGCUCUUUUGGUUAAUACCCAAGAUGAGUGGACGUUACUCGCAGAAUAAGCACCGGCUAACUCUGUGCCAGCCGCCGCGGUAA
rnacentral:rRNA from 1 species